rnacentral:rRNA from 1 species
GACAGAGGCCACGAACGUUGUUCGGAAUCACUGGGCAUAAAGCGCGCGUAGGCGGUCAGGUAAGUCCGGUGUGAAAGUCAAAGGCUCAACCUUUGAAUGCCGCUGGAAACUGCCUGACUUGAGUCCGGUAGGGGCGAGUGGAAUUCCUGGUGUAGCGGUGAAAUGCGUAGAUAUCUGGAGGAACACCGGUGGCGAAGGCGGCAUCCUGAACCG